AAGUCGUAACAAGGUUUCCGUAGGUGAACCUGCGGAAGGAUCAUUAACACGUAUCCAACGUUAAACCCCCCGUGCACACAGCGACCUGCUCCCCUCAAUUUCGGUCUUUUGGCAAUCCCUGGUAAAUCAUCGCCGAACAGUUUUGAUUCAGGGACAUCCAAAGGGCCGGGUAGGGUAUUAAGUAGUAGUCAAUGCAAAGCAACCUGGUUUCGGAGAACGGACCGAGUGGUAGUUCAAAGGUGUCUUCUGCCGCGCACUGUGGAAAGGAAGACGCUUUACGAAUCACUGUCCAACACGGUCAGUGACCGGGUUCCUGUCCUAGACCCCAUAUUCACCACCACAGUCGCAGACGAGGUAGGGAUACGUCCCUACCACCAAAUAAAUACUUGAACAACUGUUAACAAUGGAUAUCUUAACGAUGAAGAACGCAGC
rnacentral:misc_RNA from 1 species